rnacentral:lncRNA from 1 species
GCAAGUUGAACCAAAAUACAAAAAACAAAAAACAAAAAAAACAAAAAAAAAAAAAAAAAAAAAAAAAAAGAAAGAAAGAAACAGGAAAAGGAAAAAAAAAAAAAAAAGAAAGAAAAAAAACCACCACAAUCUAGUCUUUUAGUUUCCAGCCUAAACUCAGCUUUAUCCUCCUCCAAGCCCUGGCAGCUUCUCUCAGUCUCAUUCUCCGUGAUCACGCCGCCUCCACCGGUUAAAAAUAAUAAAAAUAAAUAAAUAAUAAUUGUAAUUCAGUUUGUUUUACUUCCUGAAAGAUUUAGUGACAGGUGAUCUGUUACCGCGGUGCAAACACAGCCCAGUCGAAUCAAGCAGGAGGAAGGAGGGGGGUGGGGGGUGGGGGCCGGUGGGAAGGAAGAUCCUACACUAUUUAAGAUUAUUUCUUCUUCUGCAAUAAGCUUAGAAACCAGCGAAUUGCUGCAUCCCAAGAAAAAAAGCUGCUUCCCUGGACAGCAUCAUGCGGCAAAUUUCAAGCAAAUGUGUUCAAACUGAAGAGAAGAGUCUGUGAUAAAAGCCUUCCUCCGCCAGGCUUACUCUGGUAGCUAAUUUAGCACACUGUGAGUCCCAAGCAUUAGCAAUGAUCAAUUUCCCUGGCAAGAUAACCAAAUCCCCGAAGUCCUGCAUAGACUUAAAAAUGUCUUGCAGCUAAGAGGUAUUCUCUCAAUGGGGAAAAGAAGAUAAUAAAGUCUGAAGGGAACGAUCUCCUUUGAAGGUUAUGCUAAAAAGAGUUGAGAGAAGGGGAGGUGGAUCCUACAGAGAGGAGAGAAAAGAGGGAGAGAGAGAAAGCCAGAGAGGGAGAGAAAAAUUUUCCUCCUGCUUUGCUGUUUUACUGGCCUUCACCACCAGGUGACUGACUUCACUUCUCUCUUCCCACAGCCAGCGCUAAGGGGAUUUCUCUCAUCUGUCAAAAAGCAACAUUUCCUCUCCAGACGGAUGCGGUGCUGCUGGGUCUUAAAGACUGCCCUCUGCCCAGAAUCCAUUUUGGGCAACAAAGAAUGGGACUCCAAGCUGACUGCUAACAGCCUGAGCAUGAGACACAUCCACUGAAUGUUCUGAAUUCACUCUUCCUCUCCUCAUUACUGAGAGCCAGGUAAGUCACUCUCAGAUUGGAGCUCUGUUCCCUCCCAUGCAGCUCUCUGAAAGAAACAAUCUUUAUGAUUAAAUAAAGGUUAUAUAUUUAUAUAUCAAAAUGGUUCUGGGGCUCUGGAGGGGUUUCAGGGUUUUUUUGUUGUUGUUGUUGUUUUUUUAAAUUCCAGAACGUUUCUGAAGUCCUAGGGGCACCUGGUGGCUCUGUUGGUUAAACAUUCGUUUCUUGGUUUCCACUCAGGUCAUGAUCUUAGGGUUGUAGGAUUGAGCCCUGUGUUGGGCUCCAUGUUCAGCAGGGAGUUUGCUUAAGAUUCCCUCCCUCUUCCCCUCCCUCACCCUGAUCUAUCUCUCUCUCUCUCUCUCUCUCUCUCUCUCUCUCGUGCGCAUGCUCUCUCUCUCUCAAAAAAGAAAAGAAAAUAUUUUUAAAAAGAAAGUUUCUGGGAUCCGAGAAAUAUUCCAGUAUAGUUAUAUUUGGGAAUCCACAUUGUCUGGUAGCUGUUAGAGGACUCACAAAACCUUGGGACAAGUCCAUAGCAUAAGCUGUUUCAGGGGAUGUUGGUGCGGAGCUCAGAAGAAUAAACUAAGACAAGAAAUUCAGACUGUUUCGACCAUCAAAACCUAAAGGGGCACAAGUGACACUAUUAAAAGCCAUCAAGGCAUCUGCCACUAUAAAGACAUCUUGUGAAAAGAAUAAUAGAUUUCUUGCUAAUGGGAAUCUGGGAUAAAACCCAUAAAAACCAUAAAAUUGGUGGGCAGGGGUUACGCACUUAAAAGCUGUUGGAGCACUUACUACCUAAUCUAAGAUUUCCAUGCUAGGUUAAGUUGUCAGGAAUGGGUGAACUUGACACCUUAUUACCCUCCAACCUCAAGAAAACUUCCAUACAACAAGGUGGACACACCAUCCCUGAUCCAGUGGCACAUCCUUUUUAGGUAUUAAUUUGUUUCCAAAGGAUGGAAGGCUCAGCUAAAGAAAUGGGAUCCUAGAAGUUUCAAAGAAUUGAGUGUGGACCAU